GUACACACAAUGCAGCAAACCAGCGAACUGUUGUUGUCCCUCGAGGGGUCUCGUCCGGAGGCGAGGCMGUCGAUGGCAGGGAUCGGUCGAGAGGCCGGCCUGUGGGUGAAGCGGGUCCCCGCCAUCGGCUGGAGUGUCCCACAUUUGCGGUUCUGGUCGUGGGAAGCUGGCUGCCCCUCCGGGGGGAGCGAGUUGCUCAAGGUCGGAGUCGGGCCCUCCCCUCCCCCUUUGUCCCCGUCUUUGGGGGUUCUGGGGCCGUUUUUUCACACAGCACCAUGAGGAACAUGAAGUGAGAGACUGAGCCCGGGGAUCCGUGUGGCCUCUACGGAGGUGAUGCGGCCCGAGUCAAAAACCAAAACAAUGACUCUCAGCAACGGAUAUCUUGGCUCUUGCAACGAUGAAGAACGCAGCGAAAUGCGAUACCUAGUGUGAAUUGCAGAAUUCCGCGAAUCAUCGAGUCUUUGAACGCAAGUUGCGCCCGAGGCUUGUCCCGAGGGCAUGCCUGCCUGAGCGUCACCGCACUCCCACCUGGGCACUGUGUCCAGUGUGGAAAUGGCCGUCCGGGACCCUGCGUGCAGCAAUGGGUUGCGGUCGGCUGAAAUGCAGCGAUGUGGACGCAGCCGGGGAGAGAGGCCGCGAGAAGGUGAUCCGCUCUUUUGCUGAGUGGAGUCUAAUUGGACAGCGCCUCUCGUCCCGGUGGUCCGGUCGGUGACUUGGGGAGGGGGGAGCUUGGGCUCUCCCCGUCCCCCGUGUCGGUGGGGAGUGCGACCCGCGUUGCGGGUCCCGUCCCCCUAGAGCUUGGACCUCAGAUCAGGCAAGAUUACCCGCUGAGUUUAAGCAUAUCACUAAGCGGAGGAAAAGAAACUAACUAGGAUUCCUAGAACGCACAGACGAC
rnacentral:rRNA from 1 species